rnacentral:rRNA from 1 species
UACAGAGGGUGCGAGCGUUGUUCGGAAUUACUGGGCGUAAAGCGCGCGCAGGCGGCCCUUUAAGUCCGUCGGUCAAAUGCCGGGGCUCAACCCCGAUGCAUGCCGAGGAUACUGGAGGGCUGGAGACACGUAGAGGCAAGCGGAAUUCCGGGUGUAGCGGUGGAAUGCGUAGAGAUCCGGAAGAACACCGGAGGCGAAGGCGGCUUGCUGGGCGUGAUCUGACGCUGAGGCGCGACAGCGUGGGGAGCAAACAGG